rnacentral:sRNA from 2 species
GUGUACCACGCGUACGUUCGGGCUCCUCCGCGCCGUCCACACCCACCCGAGGACGGCUUGCCACAUUGUCAGCC